UGCGGUGUCGCCAAGUGGUAAGGCAGCGGACUUUGAAUCCGCCAUCCCUGGUUCGAUCCCAGGCACCGCAG
rnacentral:tRNA from 2 species